rnacentral:rRNA from 1 species
UAGGGAAUCUUCCGCAAUGGACGCAAGUCUGACGGAGCAACGCCGCGUGAGUGAAGAAGGAUUUCGGUUCGUAAAACUCUGUUGUUAGAGAAGAACAGCGCUUAGAGUAACUGUUAUGCGUGUGACGGUAUCUAACCAGAAAGCCACGGCUAACUACGUGCCAGCAGCCGCGGUAAUACGUAGGUGGCAAGCGUUGUCCGGAUUUAUUGGGCGUAAAGCGAGCGCAGGCGGUCAAUUAAGUCUGAUGUGAAAGCCCCCGGCUCAACCGGGGAGGGUCAUUGGAAACUGGUUGACUUGAGUGCAGAAGAGGAGAGUGGAAUUCCAUGUGUAGCGGUGAAAUGCGUAGAUAUAUGGAGGAACACCAGUGGCGAAGGCGACUCUCUGGUCUGUAACUGACGCGGAGGCUCGAAAGCGUGGGUAGCAAACAGG